rnacentral:rRNA from 1 species
UUAAGCGACUAAGCGUACACGGUGGAUGCCCUGGCAGUCAGAGGCGAUGAAGGACGUGCUAAUCUGCGAAAAGCGCCGGCGAGGUGAUAUGAACCUUUGACCCGGCGAUGUCCGAAUGGGGAAACCCAGUGCAAUCCGUUGCACUAUCGUUAACUGAAUACAUAGGUUAACGAGGCGAACCGGGGGAACUGAAACAUCUAAGUACCCCGAGGAAAAGAAAUCAACCGAGAUUCCCCCAGUAGCGGCGAGCGAACGGGGAGCAGCCCGGAGUCUGAAUCAGCUUGUGUGUUAGUGGAACGGUCUGGAAAGUCCGACGGUACAGGGUGAUAGUCCCGUACACGAAAGCACACUUGCUGUGAACUCGAAGAGUAGGGCGGGACACGUGGUAUCCUGUCUGAAUAUGGGGGGACCAUCCUCCAAGGCUAAAUACUCCUGACUGACCGAUAGUGAACCAGUACCGUGAGGGAAAGGCGAAAAGAACCCCGGCGAGGGGAGUGAAAAAGAACCUGAAACCGUGUACGUACAAGCAGUGGGAGCCUCUUUAUGGGGUGACUGCGUACCUUUUGUAUAAUGGGUCAGCGACUUAUAUUCUGUAGCAAGGUUAACCGUAUAGGGGAGCCGAAGGGAAACCGAGUCUUAACUGGGCGUUAAGUUGCAGGGUAUAGACCCGAAACCCGGUGAUCUAGCCAUGGGCAGGUUGAAGGUUGGGUAACACUAACUGGAGGACCGAACCGACUAAUGUUGAAAAAUUAGCGGAUGACCUGUGGCUGGGGGUGAAAGGCCAAUCAAACCGGGAGAUAGCUGGUUCUCCCCGAAAGCUAUUUAGGUAGCGCCUCGUGAACUCAUCUUCGGGGGUAGAGCACUGUUUCGGCUAGGGGGCCAUCCCGGCUUACCAACCCGAUGCAAACUACGAAUACCGAAGAAUGUUAUCACGGGAGACACACGGCGGGUGCUAACGUCCGUCGUGAAGAGGGAAACAACCCAGACCGCCAGCUAAGGUCCCAAAGUCAUGGUUAAGUGGGAAACGAUGUGGGAAGGCACAGACAGCCAGGAUGUUGGCUUAGAAGCAGCCAUCAUUUAAAGAAAGCGUAAUAGCUCACUGGUCGAGUCGGCCUGCGCGGAAGAUGUAACGGGGCUAAACCAUGCACCGAAGCUGCGGCAGCGACAUAUGUUAUGUGUUGUUGGGUAGGGGAGCGUUCUGUAACCCGUUGAAGGUGUGCUGUGAGGCAUGCUGGAGGUAUCAGAAGUGCGAAUGCUGACAUAAGUAACGAUAAAGCGGGUGAAAAGCCCGCUCGCCGGAAGACCAAGGGUUCCUGUCCAACGUUAAUCGGGGCAGGGUGAGUCGACCCCUAAGGCGAGGCCGAAAGGCGUAGUCGAUGGGAAACAGGUUAAUAUUCCUGUACUUGGUGUUACUGCAAGGGGGGACGGAGAAGGCUAUGUCAGCCGGGCGACGGUUGUCCCGGUUUAAGCAUGUAGGCGGAGGUUCCAGGUAAAUCCGGUACCUUUUAACGCUGAGGUGUGAUGACGAGGCACUACGGUGCUGAAGUGAUAAAUGCCCUGCUUCCAGGAAAAGCCUCUAAGCAUCAGGUAACACGAAAUCGUACCCCAAACCGACACAGGUGGUCAGGUAGAGAAUACCAAGGCGCUUGAGAGAACUCGGGUGAAGGAACUAGGCAAAAUGGUGCCGUAACUUCGGGAGAAGGCACGCUGAUGUGUAGGUGAAGCCCCUGCGGGUGGAGCUGAAAUCAGUCGAAGAUACCAGCUGGCUGCAACUGUUUAUUAAAAACACAGCACUGUGCAAACACGAAAGUGGACGUAUACGGUGUGACGCCUGCCCGGUGCCGGAAGGUUAAUUGAUGGGGUUAGCGGCAACGCGAAGCUCUUGAUCGAAACCCCGGUAAACGGCGGCCGUAACUAUAACGGUCCUAAGGUAGCGAAAUUCCUUGUCGGGUAAGUUCCGACCUGCACGAAUGGCGUAAUGAUGGCCAGGCUGUCUCCACCCGAGACUCAGUGAAAUUGAACUCGCUGUGAAGAUGCAGUGUACCCGCGGCAAGACGGAAAGACCCCGUGAACCUUUACUAUAGCUUGACACUGAACACUGGUCCUUGAUGUGUAGGAUAGGUGGGAGGCUUUGAAGCGUGGACGCCAGUCUGCGUGGAGCCUACCUUGAAAUACCACCCUUUAAUGGCUGGUGUUCUAACGUAGUCCCUAUUCCGGUGCGAC